rnacentral:rRNA from 1 species
UACAGAGGUCUCAAGCGUUGUUCGGAUUCAUUGGGCGUAAAGGGUGUGUAGGUGGCGCCGUAAGUCGGGUGUGAAAUUUCGGAGCUUAACUCCGAAACUGCAUUCGAUACUGCGGUGCUUGAGGACUGGAGAGGAGACUGGAAUUCCUGGUGUAGCGGUGAAAUGCGCAGAUAUCAGGAGGAACACCGGUGGCGAAGGCGGGUCUCUGGGCCGAUACUGACGCUGAGGCACGAAGGCCAGGGGAGCAAACGGG